UGGCGUACCACAACAGCCUGCACGCCGCCGACGUGCUGCAGUCAACGCACGUGCUGCUCGCCACCCCCGCCCUGGACGCCGUGUUCACUGACCUGGAGGUCCUGGCCGCUCUUUUCGCCGCCGCCAUCCACGACGUCGAUCACCCCGGGGUGUCCAACCAGUUCCUCAUCAACACCAACUCGGAGCUGGCGCUGCUCUACAAUGACGAGUCAGUUCUGGAGAAUCAUCACCUGGCCGUGGGCUUCAAGCUGCUGCAGGAGGAGCAGUGUGACAUCUUCCA